rnacentral:lncRNA from 1 species
GUUUAAAAUAUAUGAAUUGGAUCCAUGAAGGAGGGGGGAUAGAAAAGUAUUUGAAGAAUUGAUGGCAAAAUUUUUCCACAUUUGAUGAAAUUAUAAGCCCACAGUUGUAAGAAGCUCAACAAACCCCAAGCACAAGAUGCGUGAAGAAAACUACGCCAAGGUCCGUCAUAAUCAAAUUGCCCAAAACCAGUGAUAAAAAGAUAAUCUUAAAAGCAGCCAGAAAAAAAAGACACUUUACAUACAGAGAAAAAGAUAAGGAUGACCACAGAUUUCUCUCAGAAUCAAUGGAAGCAAGACAACUGUGGAGCAGUAUCUUUAAAGGGCUGAAAGAAAAUAAUCAUAGGCAAAAUUAUCUUUUAACAGCAAAGUGAAAGUACUUUUUUUGGGCCUACAAAAGCUGAAAGAAUUAACCAUCAAUAGAUCUAAACUACAAGAAAUGUUAAUGAAGUCCUUCAAGCAGAAGGAAAAUGAUACCAGAGAAACCUAGGAGUACACAAGGGAGUGAAGAGCAUCAGAAAUGGUAACUCUAGAGGGGGGAGGGCAAAAGGGGUGAAUAGGUUCACAUGUGAGGGGACGGACUAUAAUUAGGUUUUGGGUGAACAUGAUGUAAUCUACACAGAAUUCUGUUACGAUGUACAUCUGAAAGCUAUAUAAUGUUAUAAUCCAAUGUUACUGCAAUUAAAAAAAUUUUAAAAAAAGAAAGAAAUGGUAACUACAUGAAUAAAUGUAUGCUUUUGUUCUUAUUUCUUAGAGCUCUUUAAAAGAGAAUGGACUGUUAAAGCAAAAAUAAUUUUUUGUGGGGUUUAUAAUAUAUAGCAGUAAACUAUGUGACAACCGUAGCACAAAAGCUGUGAGGCGAGAAAUAAGAAUAUACUUUUUUAAGUUUCUUAUGCUACGUGUGAAGUAAUAUAAUUGGUUCUGCUUCUGUGAUUGUGCCCUAAAUGAUUCAGGCCCCGUGAAAAAUGUGUUGGGAUUUUUAAUGGAAUUACAUGCAAUCUACAGAUCCGUUUGGAGUCUUUCUGUUCAUAAACAUGAUCAUGAACAUUUCCUCAUGUAAGUAUG